rnacentral:rRNA from 1 species
GACGAAGGAUGCAAGCGUUAUCCGGAUUCAUUGGGUUUAAAGGGUGCGUAGGCGGUUUAUUAAGUCAGUGGUGAAAGCCGGUCGCUUAACGAUCGAAUUGCCAUUGAUACUGGUAGACUUGAGUACAGAUGCUGUGGGCGGAAUAUGACAUGUAGUGGUGAAAUACAUAGAGAUGUCAUAGAACACCGAUUGCGAAGGCAGCUCACAAAACUGUAACUGACGCUGAGGCACGAAAGUGUGGGGAUCAAACAGG